CACAUACAGUUUCUCACAGCAGCAUGUUUUCUCUGACCUGUUUCCAUCUAGAGUUGUCUAUAUCUUUGGCCCACCAGUUAAAGAACCUCCUACAGAUGUUACUCCAACAUUUUUGACAACAGGGGUGCUCAGUACUUUACGCCAAGCUGAUUUUGAGGCCCAUAACAUUCUCCGGGAGUCUGGGUAUGCUGGGAAAAUCAGCCAGAUGCCAGUGAUUUUGACCCCAUUACAUUUCGAUCGAGAUCCACUUCAGAAGCAGCCUUCAUGCCAGAGGUCUGUGGUUAUUCGAACCUUUAUUACUAGUGACUUCAUGACUGGAGUACCUGCAACACCUGGCAAUGAAAUUCCUGUAGAGGUGGUGCUAAAGAUGGUCACUGAGAUAAAGAAGAUUCCUGGAAUUUCUAGAAUUAUGUAUGACCUAACGUCAAAGCCCCCGGGAACCACUGAGUGGGAGUAAUAAAUGUGUUGUUGAAGAA
rnacentral:lncRNA from 1 species